UGUCAUUGUGUGCAGGGGAAAUCUAUUCAGAAGUAAAUACUUCAACACCAAAGAUAUAACCUGCCUGCUAGCGUCGUUGGUCGUCAAUGGGUUUUGUCUUUUUGGUCUAUUUUUCAAGCUGAAAAAAGUGUAAAUAAUUUAAUUAUUAUUAGUAGUUAAAUCGAGGCAGAGCCUAACGCACACAUACAGCAUGGGUUGUUGCUUUAGUACUAGUAAGUCGGUGGAUUUAGUGGAUGUGCCACCAAAUACCAAGAAACGUGUGGUGGCCGAUCGCAGCUCCACCAUGGAUUCGCAAUUUGCCAAAAAGGAUACAAAUCUGGGAGGUGUUACCAAUACAGCAUUAGAAACGGAUUAAGGGCCCGUCCAUAUGGAAGUAGUGGAUUAUCAUUUUGUUUUUGUUAGUUUUAAUUUGUUUUAAGUGUUUGUUAUAUGAAGUGCGACAUAUUUAUGCAAAAAUUGUUGUUAAAUAAGGGUUUGUUUGUGCCAUUAUUAUGUGGAUAUUAAAUUCGAAAUUUUAUGAAAAAAAUUGGUCUAGUGAUUAUGUGGCAAUAAAAAAAUUGUUAAAAUUUUUU
rnacentral:sRNA from 1 species